rnacentral:lncRNA from 1 species
UAUCACACCAAUGAUACAAUGCAGAAUAAAAUAUCAGAAAUGGAAAGAAAAAUAAUUCAGUAAUUUUAUAACAGACUAUUUUCACAACCGCCAUAUUCCAAGCCCAACAAAGUAGUCCAAAAACAACCAAAGUAUUUCGUUCUCGAUAUUGGAGGAAAAUGAAAUAGUGUCUCUGUCGAUCGCUUAAAAAAAAGCAUUCAUCAAAGAGGACUUACUUUCAGUUCCCGCUGUUCCUCAAAUGGACUCAACAACUUCAACUUCACCCAUCGCAAACACCUCAGAUUCUGCACUACCUCAGGACACCAAAUUGGGAAGAACAGUCUGAUGGCCCGCAAGAUUUGUUCAAGUCUUUCGAGUAAGUACAAACUCUUCACCUACCCAUCUUCUCAGAUGAAAUGUCUACACCAACAAAUAAAAGCAAAUUGUUUUUUCUUCUUGUUAUGAACAAUUGCCACACAUAUAUAACCCAUGUGACUCUGCAUCAUCUGCAUACAAGUCAAACCAAAACAUUUUGUAUAAAAAAAAACUUUUCUACAUCAACGUAAAACAUGUUUUAUGAAUAUUGUUCUGCUAAUUGAACUGACUGAACAUUUCACCAACGAACUUUUUGCGUGAACAUUUUCAUUUUUCUGUAAAAUUACAUUUUCUUGCAUGUAUAUAUGUUUUGCUUUGUUUUAAAAAUGUCUUGCUCUCUACAUCACAACUGUAUGCUUACACACACUUGUAACUCUCAUAUUUUCAUGUGUGCUAUCACUUGUUCUCCGUGCCACUGAAAGAUAACUUACCUCUAUUAGACCUCUAGUGGGUCAUGUAAUCAAUAGAGUUGCAUGUCUCUUUCAACGUGCCAGCAUAUUACAUUUAUGCUUCUGCCUAAGCAUAUACACAUUGCCUAACAUAUAUCACACACACCAACUUUGAACAUUGAUUUUUUUGCUUUACAUUUUUUCAUUUCUUUCACUUCCCAUAUUUUUGACAUGUAUUCAUUUGUUUGUAAAUGACACUGUAUCUGUUUUUCUGCAUUACAAAAUUCAUACAUUUUCAAUAUCACACACAUCUGUAUCGUUUGCUCUCUGUGGCUUUCUCACUAGAAGUAGGUGGUGUAAAAACUAACAUUUCCUUUUCCCAAGCUGAGAUUUGAAACCGAAUCUAAGGAUUCUUGCUCUUCUGAUCCACCACUUGCAAAACAGGUGCGAAAGAAAUUUUUUUGUCCUGUCAAAAGAUGAUGGAUGGAUUUCCCUUUGACCUCCAGCCUGAGCUGUGUCAUUUAAGGUUCAAGUGGACAGGAGGCGACCUACAUAGGUAGAAAUUACUCCUGUAGUAUGUCUGUCUUUCUAGCUGAGAUAACCAUGAUAAAUACAGUGAGACACACGACAGAUUGGCAGACAGCCAGCAAGAGGCAAACCAUUGACAGACAGCAGUUAAGUUGUGCCAGUCAAGCAGCCAACACAGAACCACAUAUUCAACAUGAAUGACCCAAUACAGUAGCAGUCACAGAACAUAAACAAACAUGACCAAAUGACCAACUCACACACAGACACAAAAUAUGCCUGGUUCUACCUCAUUACAUCAACACAGUAUUUCUACUGUUGUUUGCUUUUAAUUCACCAACUUGAAGCAAGUUGGUAAUGUCAUGUAGUGGACUUCCUUGUGUAUACAACACAUAAAUGCAAGUGUUGAUUAAAUAAAUUAUUUAAACCACAA